rnacentral:rRNA from 1 species
UCCUGGCUCAGGAUGAACGCUGGCGGCGUGCCUAACACAUGCAAGUCGAACGAAGCACUGGAAACGGAGAUUCGUCGAAGUUUCUUGACUUAGUGGCGGACGGGUGAGUAAUGUAUGAGCAACCUGCCUUUCAGAGGGGGACAACAGUUGGAAACGACUGCUAAUACCGCAUAAUGUAUUUGGGUGGCAUCACCUGGAUACCAAAGGAGCAAUCCGCUGAAAGAUGGGCUCAUAUCUGAUUAGCUAGUUGGCGGGGUAACGGCCCACCAAGGCGACGAUCAGUAGCCGGACUGAGAGGUUGAACGGCCACAUUGGGACUGAGAUACGGCCCAGACUCCUACGGGAGGCAGCAGUGGGGAAUAUUGGGCAAUGGGCGAAAGCCUCGACCCAGCAACGCCGCGUGAAGGAAGAAGGUCUUCGGAUUGUAAACUUCUUUUAUGAGGGACGAAGGACGUGACGGUACCUCAUGAAUAAGCCACGGCUAACUACGUGCCAGCCGCGGC